AUUUAUUUAAAAAGGAGCCGAAUAGCCAAGACAAUGAAGAGAAGAGAGGAACCUUUGGGAAGAGAAAGGACGAACACAUCCUCUGUUUUUGUCUUGUACAUAUAAAAAAUAAAAGAAUAGUAUACAUAUAUUUUUAUAUUUAACAUGUAUCUGCAUAUGCCUUCUGUUUAGAUCUCCGUUUCAUCCAAUUCACCGUCUGGGUUUUCUUCAAAAUGUUUCUGUUUUUGGGCCCUGAUCUAUGUGAAUUAUGCAUUUCAUAGUCACUGGAUUGAGGUCUUGAUUGAUGCAAACAAGGAUGAGAUGUUCCUCGAUUGAAUCCGACGUUUGUUAGUUGGUUUCUGAUCACUAUCUGCAACUGAGGUCUGCCUGAUUUUCUGGAUAAGAAAUGAUGGAAUCGGAUCUCGGUAAGCUAUUCAUUGGUGGAAUAUCUUGGGACACAGAUGAGGAUCGUCUUAAAGAGUAUUUUAGAUCGUAUGGAGAAGUGGUGGAGGCUGUGAUCAUGAGAGAUCGCAACACUGGUCGUGCCCGAGGUUUCGGUUUUGUGGUCUUUGCUGAUCCUGCAGUUGCUGAACGAGUGGUGAAGGAGAAGCAUAUGAUAGAUGGAAGAACUGUUGAGGCAAAGAAGGCUGUACCUAGGGAUGACCAAAACAUAAUAAAUAGAAGCAAUAGCAGCAUUCAAGGAUCUCCGGGUCCUGGACGCACAAAAAAGAUUUUUGUAGGAGGGUUAGCAUCCACAGUUACUGAAAGUGACUUUAAGAAGUACUUUGAUCAGUUUGGCACAAUCACGGAUGUGGUUGUGAUGUAUGACCACAACACUCAACGGCCAAGAGGAUUCGGGUUCAUAACUUAUGAUUCGGAGGAUGCAGUGGAUAGGGCAUUGUAUAAAACCUUCCAUGAACUCAAUGGUAAAAUGGUUGAGGUGAAGCGUGCAGUUCCGAAAGAGCUUUCUCCCGGCCCUAGCCGUAGCCCUCUGAUUGGAUACAACUAUGGUCUCAGUAGACCCAACAACUUUCUCAACAACUAUGCGCAGGGAUAUAAUCUGGGUUCCGUUGGAGGCUAUGGGGUCAGGAUGGACAAUAGGUUUAGCCCUGUUGCCAGUGGUCGUACGGGGUUCUCUCAAUUUGCUAAUCCUGCUUAUGGAAUGAGUAUGAAUUUGGACCCGGCAUUGAAUCCGAGCUUUGCAGUGGGUUCCAACUUUAGUAGUAAUGUCGGUUAUGGGCGGGUUCUGAGCCCAUAUUUGAGUAGCAAUUCAAGCAGAUACAAUACUCCCAUUGGGUAUAGCCCAAGCAGUAACCGUGGUGAUUCCUUUUUAAGCUCUCCAACAAGGAACCUAAGGGGAAACGGAGGCCUUAACACUUCAAUGACUCUUGGUGGCUCCGGUUCAUUCUUGGCUUCUGGUGGUUUCGGAGUGUUUGGAAACAAUGGGGCAAAUUGGGGGUCUUCUGUUCCCGCUCAAGUUGGCGGGAAUUCAUCUGGCUAUGCUGGCGGGAAUUUCGGAUUCAGGAGUGGGGAUAACAGUUACGGGCUGGGAUCUGGAGGGAUUGGAAGAAAUAAUGCAGCAGCUAUAGCUACAACAUCUUCAUUUACUACACCUAUUGGUGCAUACGAGGGGUCUUAUGGGGAUUUAUAUCGCAGCGCUUCUAUGUAUGGAGAUCCAACUUGGCAAGCUGCUUCUUCUGAUCCCGAUGGUUCUGGUUCUUUCGGAUAUGGACUUGGAAAUCCGGGAGCUGCUACUGCCAAAGAUUCUGAAGGUUAUAUUGGAGGUUAUAAUAUUGCAAAUAGACAAUCAAAUAGAGGAAUUGCAGCAUAGGAGUUCUCAUUAUUUGGAUAUAUGGAAGAUAAUAUUAGGAGAAGAGACGUCAGUGAAGUGGACCUUGAAAGUUUUAUCGUAUCCCUCAUAAUACAUAUUUCAGAUAAUAAGGAAAACUGAUGAUAUAGAGCUAACGUCGUGGGUCUUGUCUGAAAGGGCGCGAGUAUAGGUGUUCCAAAAGAGAGCAGUUUUUAAGGGAUUUUGUCAAGGCUUAAGAUUGCAGGAGAUACACUCACAAUAUGCUUGUUCUUAUAUCCGCCACAAAACCAAGUACCCCCCGCUGGUACGACCAAGAGAGGCAGAGCAUAUUUUGAUCGAUACAUUCUUUUCUUCUUUUCGUUUUUUUUUUUUUUUGAUUGCUAUUUAUAAGUGAUUUAGGCUCCAUUCUCAGCAUUUGAUCGAGAUGUAAAUCAGAUUGCAGGAGAUACACUCACAAUAUGCUUGUUCUUAUAUCCGCCACAAAACCAAGUACCCCCCGCUGGUACGACCAAGAGAGGCAGAGCAUAUUUUGAUCGAUACAUUCUUUUCUUCUUUUCGUUUUUUUUUUUUUUUGAUUGCUAUUUAUAAGUGAUUUAGGCUCCAUUCUCAGCAUUUGAUCGAGAUGUAAAUCAGAUUGCAGGAGAUACACUCACAAUAUGCUUGUUCUUAUAUCCGCCACAAAACCAAGUACCACCCGCUGGUACGACCAAGAGAGGUAGAGCAUAUUUUGAUCGAUACAUUCUUUUCUUCUUUUCGUUUUUUUUUUUUUUUUUUUAGUUUCUUGUGCGCUGUAGUGACCGACUGGCAAAGUAUGCCGGUGUUUCGCCUUUAAAGUUUCCCCUUUUUAUUUUUUUUCUCUGAGAUUAUGUGUCGCUCUCAGAUUGUUUGUGAGAUGUUGCUGCUUGAUAAUGGUGUGGAACAAUAGAGGGAUACCACAUAGGAUCCCCCCAUCAAUAAAGUACUCAAUAUUUCUAUUCAUAUUAUAGAUUGUGUAAACAGUAUAAGCUUUUAAUUUAUUUUUUUUGGGUAUGAAAUGAAGAGAGAAGCUUUCUGUC